rnacentral:rRNA from 1 species
CGUAGAGUUUGAUCCUGGCUCAGGAUGAACGCUGGCGGCGUGCUUAACACAUGCAAGUCGAACGGUGAAGCAGAGCUUGCUCUGUGGAUCAGUGGCGAACGGGUGAGUAACACGUGAGCAACCUGCCCCUGACUCUGGGAUAAGCGCUGGAAACGGCGUCUAAUACUGGAUAUGUGACGUGACCGCAUGGUCUGCGUCUGGAAAGAAUUUCGGUUGGGGAUGGGCUCGCGGCCUAUCAGCUUGUUGGUGAGGUAAUGGCUCACCAAGGCGUCGACGGGUAGCCGGCCUGAGAGGGUGACCGGCCACACUGGGACUGAGACACGGCCCAGACUCCUACGGGAGGCAGCAGUGGGGAAUAUUGCACAAUGGGCGGAAGCCUGAUGCAGCAACGCCGCGUGAGGGAUGACGGCCUUCGGGUUGUAAACCUCUUUUUAGCAGGGAAGAAGCGAAAGUGACGGUACCUGCAGAAAAAGCGCCGGCUAACUACGUG